rnacentral:rRNA from 1 species
UACGUAGGGUGCAAGCGUUGUCCGGAAUUAUUGGGCGUAAAGAGCUCGUAGGCGGUCUGUCGCGUCUGCUGUGAAAACUCAGGGCUUAACCCUGAGCUUGCAGUGGGUACGGGCAGACUAGAGUUCGGUAGGGGAGUCUGGAAUUCCUGGUGUAGCGGUGAAAUGCGCAGAUAUCAGGAGGAACACCGGUGGCGAAGGCGGGAACUCGUGGGCCGAUGACUGACGCUGGAGGAGCGAAAGCGUGGGGAGCGAACAGGA